ensembl:lncRNA
GUAAGCGGAAAUACGGCAGGCUGCACCACUCUGACCUUCACAUCCCUGGUAGUGGCCCCAAGCUCUGCAGUUCCAGGGACGCCCAGAGGCUGUUCUGGAGUCUUCCACUCGGCCUUUCCCACCCGAAAGCCUGUGGGUCGCUCCAUGUGUCAGAGGAGCAAUGUGGGAAUUCUGCCAAGUGUGUCCGUCCAGACGAUGGAGUCGAGAACUAGACAUACACGUGGGACAGACUCAGAGACACACCUGGCCGGCUGUCGGGGGACCUGACCCCAACACCCCCUCCCCUGGCUGAUGGAUUGUGGUGGCACGUGGUCCUCGGCGCGUGUGGCAUCCAUCUGCGCCUCCGUCGGCCAGGCGGCCUCCUCCACACGCAUCUCUACGUCCUCUCCUGCUCUGACAAGGACACGGCGUCUGGACUCCAGGCUCACCCUGCUCCCAUGUGAGCUCAACUCACAACGUCUGCACUGACCCUGAUUACAAAAAAGGUCACACCUGCCAGCCUUCGAGCAGGUGAAUGGGGGCAGGAGGGUGGGGAACACUGCCUCCCGCAGUGUGUCUCGGCCCCUGACUCACCCAGCGGCUCCCUCGAGACCCCUGCCGUCUGGGCCCCCUCCCCUCCUGAGAUUCCGUGGCAUUUCAGUCCUGCUGGGAGGGCAACUGGGUGGGCCAAUUUCCUGGCUGUAGCCCUGUGGUUCCCGUGGUGUGGGCACCUUCACCCACCUCGAUCCUGAGAGGACCCUGGUCUCUGACCCUCCUCAAACCCCUAGUCGUUGCAAUAGUCCCUGGUCUGGUCCACAAGGAUUCUAUAAGAUCUCCAGUCAGGACCCUACUUUUUCCCCUACAGAAUAUGGGGCACUGUGUCCACAUGUGUGGAGUCUGGCCCUACACACAUAAGCACUGCUGGGCCCGGCUUCCCUCAUCCUGGCCCUGGGCUUACAUAGGGCAUCUCUUCUGGAUCAUCCCCACAGCGCUCCAGGCAGUGCACUUCUGGGGAGGGACCACACGUCACAUGGGCUUUGUCACCUGGGCUCCCAGCCUCCCAAGUUACAGCAACCCCAGAAGACACAGCUCCCUUACUUCUCCUGCUCCCUCGAUGGAGUAUUUCUCAGGGUAGGGUGACCCCUGGGGGUGGGACCCAAACCUUCCCAGCCCGCAGCCCCAGACCUUCCUCCUCUCUCCAGCUG